UCGAGUACAAUAAACGGUACACUUGACAACACUACAAUAGUAAUUUGCUGAGCAAGUUGAAAGGACUGCUGGGUAAUAUAUGCUUCUGUGUUAAUGAUCCAUACCCUGUAUAUGAUGACUCAGGUCUCUGAUCCUUGUGAGGAUAACUUGACCCACACUGAUACAGACAAAAUAACAUUUGGUUAUUAAACAUGACAUUUUGUUUGGAAACGUAAUGUGCUUUUUUUGGGGGGGUUUUUUUCAUACAGCUGUCCACAUUCUUAAGGUAAGUCUCCAUAGUUUGAGCUUGUAAUGCGUGUGGUUUUUAUUGUUUGUUUUUAACCGGCAAGUGAAAAUGCUUUUGUAACCAAUGAUGAAAACGAUUCUGCCAUAUGAUUCACACUGAUAUAAUCACUUACCGUUCCACUUUUUUUCUGAGGUUACAUUAUUAAAUUGCAAAAAGGAUAACAUUUAGGUGCAGACAAAUCUUGUGUUUUAUGGAAUACUCUGAAAUGUUGAGCAUCUUAGUGUGAAAACGGCUUUCCUAAGUGGAGCUGAAAGUGAUGCAUUAAAGGGACAUGAAACAGAUUCUGUGUUGGUAAACCCAUAUAUUUUCAUUACCACUCAAAUAAGAUGUGUGAUUAUGUUCUAGGUUGAAGAAUAACGGCAUUUCAAAUUCAAACCUAAAGGAACAAAUAUAUAGUAAUGUUGCUUUUUUACAUGCAUCUUUGAAAUUAGAUCAUGGUUUCUAGUAGAUGGUUGUACAGCUGACUCUGAUCUGCAAACCUCAUCGCAGAUUUUAAAUCAUAUUGAUGAAUGCCCCCUUAGCAAUUGGUCACCAGCACUGCUAAUAAUUGAUCAAACUUUUAAGGAUAAAGCUUUUUUUUUUUUUUCCCCAUGUAAUUUUGCUUUGGUCCCCUUAGCAAUGCUAACCAACAAAGUAGUUUGCACACUAGUGACUGACAAAUGCUCCUCAUGAGGGUAACUUGGGUUUCAACAUGGCAAUAUCAUUACCUUACAUUUCUAUCGUAGAAACUAACUUUGUAAAUUUGAAAUGUAUUUAUAUUCGGACAAAUCUGAAUUUCUUUUAUGGCCCUUUAAGCUUAGACUCUCAGACAGGCUAAAGAAUACAGAUCUGCUGGAGUGCAUGUUUUCUAAUAAGAACUUAGAUGUUACCAGUUUGGUGUAGCAAUGUACUAUUUGUAUGUAAAGUUACUUUAAAGCUCAGCAAUGGUGACCUAUGUGAGCUGUAAUGUAGAACUGUUUUGGAAUAGAUCUGAAUUAAACUAUUGUGCACUUUUUCUUUCCAGGCAUUAUACUUUAUGAGAAAGUGAGUUGAUAUCCAGUGCAUGUGAAGAUCCAAUACUAGUUCCUGUGGAGCAGAUGCCUAGAACUACCUGACACGACUUGUUGCAAAAAAAACCUUGUUCUGCAACAUUAAAUAAAAUAUGACUUCUGAAACAGUUA